UACAGAGGUCUCAAGCGUUGUUCGGAUUCAUUGGGCGUAAAGGGUGCGUAGGCGGCCAACUAAGUCAGACGUGAAAUCCCUCGGCUUAACCGGGGAACUGCAUCUGAUACUGGAUGGCUUGAGUUCGGGAGAGGGAUGCGGAAUUCCAGGUGUAGCGGUGAAAUGCGUAGAUAUCUGGAGGAACACCGGUGGCGAAGGCGGCAUCCUGGACCGACACUGACGCUGAGGAGCGAAAGCCAGGGGAGCAAACGGG
rnacentral:rRNA from 1 species